GGCACGGUACGCGGUAAUACUGGCAGAACGAGUGGUGCCCACGAAUAUUGGGUUUAAAGAGACCGUAGCUGGUCUGCUAAGUUCGCUGUGAAAUCUUGGGGCUUAACCUCAAGGCGUGCAGCAAAUACUGGCGGACUUGAGAGCGGGGGAGGCCGGGAGUACUUACGGGGUAAGGGUAAAAUCUCGUAAUCCUGUAAGGACUACCAGUGGCGAAGGCGCCCGGCCAAAACGCGUCUGACAGUGAGGGUCGAAGGCUAGGAGAACGAAUCGGAUUAGAUACCCGAGUAGCCCUAGCAGUAAAUUAUGCAGACUUGGUGUCGCGGCUGCUUCGAGCAGCCGCGGUGCUGUAGAGUAAUUGUUAAGUCUGCCACCUGGGGAGUACGGCCGCAAGGUUGAAACUUAAAGGAAUUGGCGGGGGGAGCACA
rnacentral:rRNA from 1 species